GGAGGAGGCGGCGGAGGAGCGGCGGCCGAGGCGGGGGGGCCGCUGCCGGCGUCGCCGGCGCUGAGGUGGACGAAGAGCAGCAGCCCCAGCACGUUGAGGACGUAGAGUCUGGGAAGCCUGAGGACCAUCAGAGGUGAGGCAGCCAACGCAUAACACAAGCAAAGCUGAAAUGAAUUGCGCCGGAUGCACGGAUGGGGAGGUGGAAGGCGGGCAGGGAGAGACAAAUGCAACAAGGAAAAAAAAAGAGCAAAUAUUCCACAUCUGUAGCAGUAAUGCAUCAAAGGGAAUUUUGUACCUCAGAAUGAAUGGCUCCUGAGCCACUAAGCACCUACGGUCACAUAACCCUGCUGAUUUGAAUAGGGCUGUGUACCUGUUAGAGGGGGAAAAAAAGCUAGCCUUGUCUUUUGAUAUUGCAUCUCCUGUUCUCCUUCCUGUUGUUGCUUUUCAAGCAGCGUCACUUUACACGAAGAGCCAACACUCCCUGUGCUCUGCAGGUUCUGUCCUGGAGUUUACAACUCUGCAUGACAUCUGUACAGCAGUCACCCUGCCUGGGCUGCAACAGCAACCAAGUCCCGUUGUUUUCCCAGAGAGCGUGGAAAUGGGAUUUGUGUGUGCAAACCAGAACAACCACCACCCUAAGAAAGGGUGUGAUUUGUUUUGUCUUAAAGCAAAUAGAACUGCUGACUAAAGCUUCAGAAAUUCUGAAAGAAUUAAGGGGCACUCAGUGCAACACGUAGUACUGUUCCUCAGCCAAGCAUCUCAUAGCAGUCCGUUCAGCACAUUUGGCCACAGCUAUAUAGUCCAGUUUUUCUACAAACAGGGAUUCAUGGCAAAGCAUUUUGUGGGGGCAAUGGAGAGGGAGGGAGGGAGAGAGAGAGGCAAAGAGGAGGUGGAGAGAGACAAAACCCCAUUCUAGUCUAGCCCAAAGUCUGGCAAUUAUGUAACAAAAGUGAGAGCUCUUUGGGAUUAGGAAACACCAAGUAUCUGUUCUGCAGAGAGAGCGGGCAUUAUGCUAGUUACAUUUAGACAAGAACACCAGCUUUUAUCCUAGAUCAGUACUUUGCACGUUAAAAUCUUCAAAGAACAGUUUAAAUGUUAGUUCAACACACUGCAAACUGCUGGGUCUCAGCAAGCCCUCCCCUGAGCUAUCCCUCGCUCUCUGUCCAGUGUGCUCUGUGUCUCAAAUUUUGACAAGCAUUUAGGAGGAGGAGAGAAAGGUACAUUUGACCAAUCUCUGGAAUAUAUUCUGAGCAGGGCACAAAGAUGCUGCUGCUGGGAGCAGAGGAGGGAAUGAAUUCAGGAGGCAGCGGCUGGAGCAAGGACAUAUCUACCCCCAUGGCUUCAGCCUAGAUGGGAGCCAAAAUAGCCCAGAGCAGAAGCAUAAGGAGCCAUGGCUGCAGAGACCUCGUACAGGUGCUGCUUCUGCUCCUAUCCCUGUUCCACUGCCAGCAGCUCUUUGGCAGCACGUUCCUGAGGAUACAUCCUACAGCAGGGAAGGGAGGGAGGAAAGAGCAGGCCUCUCAGUUGGAAAAUUUCCACUGCGAGCGAGCAUGGCCACAGGAUUAGCUUUGAUGGCAGCUCUUCUCUUAAACCAAGCGUCUCUUGUUCAAAUCCAUCUGCCCAAUUAUACAUGCUGCAAAAACUUGGCUCACAUAUCUCAGGUACAUGAAAAAGGCUCCAACAGCAGUUAGCUUAUUUGGACAUGCAGGAAUUUAGUACUUUUUCCCCUUCAGUUUAAUCUUUGUCAAGUGAAAUUGUAUAAAGACAAUAGAGUAUACAGGGACACAUCAAAGGUUACGCUUCCAUGUGCAGCAUGGAAGAGAAUCCCAUGAGUCCCCCACGGAAGUGAUUUCCCCAAAUCAGGCACUCCAGCUUCACCUUCACUGGCUGCAUACAGCGUGUUCGUGGUGCAGGUGACAUACAUGCUUGUGAAACCUUAACACGUGGCCUGCUUCCUAUAGCAAACAGGCAAGCAUCAGCAUUUAAGUAACCUUUUUCAUGUUAACCCCUACUAAGAUGAACUGGGUUUUCAUAUUUUUAUUUUAGUGUAUAUUUUACAUUAGAAAAAAGAAUGUUAAUAAAAAAGCUCCACAUGCUCCUAACAAUCAAUUUUCUGAUGAGUUCCCACCAGUAUUGAUACUAAUAUACAAAUAAAUUAAUUUUGCAAGUUAAUUCUCUGCCUGGCUUGGUGCAGGCCCUGCACAAGCAGUGCAUCUGUAGUCUAGUGCCUGUCCAACAUGUGCCAGGGAGUGUGUUGUACACAGUAUUUGCUCCUCAUAAAGUAGCGGAGUUUAGUUUCACAUCAAUUAAUGGGAUCAAAUUUUCUCAACCAUGUCACCCAGCAGGCACAAAUAUUCUUUACCAGAUUGCAUGGCACUGUUACGACAUGGAUUGUUUCACUCUGAAAAAGCCCCAAGCCUUGAUUAACAUCUGUAUGCUACAAUUCCCUCAUCACUCACUUUGGCAAUACAACACCCUCCCCACAAAAACAAGCAAAGCAAAAAAUCUAUAUGGAAGACCUAAAAUUUAUCAAAUGCAGAAUCUGACCUGACUUAGUGAUAACCUGCUCUCUCCCCUACAAUUCCUCUGCUUGUUUUUGUUUGUGUAGCAAGAUUUUGCACAGCUGAUAUUCAAGAAGAGAUGCCACAUGUAAUCGGACUAAGUCACAGACGCUGCUGGGACUGCCAGAUCAGCCACAGCAGCAGCCAUUCUUAGCACCAGCCACUCUCCUCAUGCAAUGCCAAUGCUACAACGUCCUGGUUAAAGGAGCAUCAAGAAAUCUACGUGAGUUAUUUUGUAACCUCCUCCAGUGCCUAGGAGGAUUUUUGGUUCAGAGGAAGGAAGGAGGAGAGGGAAAAGCCCAUUAAAUUUACAAGCAGAUUAAGGAAAAACAAUCCACUGCCAAUUUAUUUUUAAAAAGGGUUGUGUGUUAUUCUAAGGUUUGUCUGUAUAAUUGUACAACCGUUGAAAAUUACAUAAAUUGUAUUGAUCUAAUACUAUUAACAGCCAUUCAGAGAAAAACUCCCUCCCCGUCUGAAACCAUUGAGGGCAGGAGGGAAACGUCCCAGGAAAUAUGCCAAUCUGAACUCUGGCCUCUAGCAUGGCAGAAACAAACAGAAAGAUAAGAGAACAAACUGGACUAAGAUGUGAUGUUUGCAUGUGUCUGACUUGCAAGGGGAGGGGUGGCUCUGUCCUUGGCCGUGUUCUCCCAGAGGCAGUGCCUGCUUAUCCCGGUGAAGCUGCCAUCACUUCACUUGCUGCUCUCACCCCUGCACUUUGUCAUUUUCUCCUGUUUUAUGUGUCAUGGAAGUCUUUCAGCAGGGUCCUCCGUCUCUGCUCUGCUAUGUGCAUCUGAUUCUCUAAGUCCUGGUAAAACAGAAGGCAGAAAUAGUUAGUGUGAGAUCCCCAGGGAUUAGUUAAUUUUUUUCUCAGGGAUUCACAUCAUCUGAGAAUCACCAACCUUCGUACUUCAAAUAUGCUCUGAAUCACAAGAUUGCAGACCUCAUUCCUUUUAGCAUGCUUUAACAUGUUAACAUGCAGUUACCUGGCUCUUGCUUUAUCUAAAAAGCUACACACUUCAAGAACCUACGUGUAACUAGAAGUUUAUUAUGGGCAGCUUCUCCAAAGCUCUGACGGUUCUGUUUCCAGCCCUCCCUCGUCCUGCAAUAAGCAGUGAGCACUUCACUUCCACAACAUCCACCAGCAAGAGGAAGAAAAGUGAGAUUUUGGAUCUAGUAUUUCAGCACCCUCACUUAACUGCCUUAGCUCUCCCACAGAGUUGUUAAGCCUGAUGUUAACAAAAUCUGGCCAGCAGGCCCAAGCAAGAGGAACACUCACCCCUCUGUCAUAGCUGUCUGCUCGCUCCACCUUCCAUGAGAGAUUUUCAAUUUCAGCUUCCAGCUGGGCCUGCUGGUAUUCAAACUGCAAACAGCAAAAUUGGAGUUAGCAUCAAGAAACUAACUUAGUGGAACAGCUUCGUUCAACCUGCUACAUUUGAGAAGCAAACAAACAUGUUCUGCUGACAGCAGUGCUGGAAGAGCAGGUUUGUGCCUCCUCCCUAUCCAUCUUUAGCUACACAUGCUUUGCAGAGGUUUCUGGUGUGAACACUCCCCAACCUGCAUCACUCAAAGUUAAUCAUAUCAGUUCAGAAACACUCAAAGUGACAAAUAUCAGCUUACUCAGCUCACUUUGCCAAUAAGCAGGUCAGGAAAUGCUCUUGUGAAGGCAGAACUGAGGGACUCCUAACCACUGCUGGGAGCAGUAACUUAUUCUACCAGCGCAGUCAGAUAGAAAAGAAAAUGUGGCCAAAGCCUGAGAGAAUCCACAUGCUACGUGAAGAGAUUGGAGAACAGGUCUGACUUGACUACUGAGUCAAAGAAUCAACAUAUUCAAUGAAUUCAGGACUAUUUUUGGACAUAUCCAGCCCCUAGAAAGUUCCAGCUUGCAAGGAACUUGCAGUAGGAAUCAAAGGCAAAGCUACACACCGAUUCCAGGCUGGAAAAACUAUGCUCCAGCAGCCAUUUGUGGGAAAUACAGUCCACAGCACUGUGAUAGUCCCACCAAGGAACAAACUCACAUUUUCCAGCUUCAAAACUUUUUGGAUAAAAUGCUUAUUAGUUAAAUUGCAGUGUUGCCAAAGGAAAAUAACAAUUGAGCAGCAGAUCAAUUUCAAGCAUAGAGGAAAGGUGCAAAGGCACACAAUCUUGUCCAGGCUUUACCUCAAACUCAAUACUCGUAUUUCAGACACACAAGCUCUGGAAUUGAAUAGGGAUGCUUGACUAUUCAUUCAGCCUAGCAUGCUGCCAGCUAAACACCCCCAGACAAACUGUAAGUGAAAAAAGAACAAAACAUCUUACCAGUUUCUUUCUGGGACCAGACUCCAUGUAGUAGGCAUAUGGAUAUGUGUACUGCAGAGUGUAACGACACUGGUGGGGUCCAAGGAGAAGAGAGAGAAAACAAGAGUCUCAGACUUCGAAGUCAGCACAGUCAGUUGCAUAACCACUACAAGAAGCUACGUUCUGACAAGGAUGCCUAGACACUUCAUGGUGCAGCUUCCCUCAUCAUCCUUGGAAGAAUUUGAACAGUUAUACUUUAACUUCUCAGAGGUCACAGAGGACCCUUCAUAGAGGAUUUUUGCCUAGUUCAUGGUGUAGACUAGAGGUACAGUUUCACAUACCCGUAAUCCCCAAGUUCCCUUCCUCUCACUAGGUGUGGUGAAAUUAGCAUUCUUGUGCACAAAUUCUCUUCUUUGUGCUAAACAAGCCACAGCUACCCACCUUUGCGAGUAGUUUUGCAGCAUUUUGUAGGUAUUGCCAGUCUAUCCACGUUCCCAAGUUGUUCAUAACUCUUUCCUGAAUUUUCUCCUGGAUUCGUUGGUACGUCUGUGCCUCCAGCUGCAAACUUUUAUUGUGAUUCUCCCACUGCAAAGGGUGGGGAGAAGAAAAAAGAAAAAAAUGGUAUGAGACCAGAAUACUUUUGCUGUAAAAGCACAAGCUCUAGCAAGCGGAAACUGAAGUGGGGCAGGAGUCCAGCAAGGCAAGACAUGCUGUGGGAAAGAACAGCAAGGCAGCAGCUCCAAUAGCAAGGAGUGGAAGCUGUAUACAACAGACUGACAGCAGGAAAGAGCAAGAAGCAAACCCAGCUCCUCAGAGUGGGAAUGCCCUCUGUUUGCACAAAGACUUUGUGUACAACAAGAUAGAUAGUAAUGGCAAUUCCUCUACUUAAACAAUUCCUCUACUUAAACAAUUUCUGUAGAAAGGGCAAGAGUUGAAAUUAACACUUAAUGCAGGUUCAGUUAACUCCAACAUCCACAUGCACAUUGUAAACAUAGCCAUGUCCCAAAGCCUGUUUGGUCUAGCGAGCCAAGAAUGAACACGUUUAUUUUAUUACAGGAGUUGGCUCAUAGUAUGAAAAAGAAUAAAUUCAUUUUAAUGGGGAAACAAGUGCACUGAAAGGCAGCAGCACUGUACUUGUCUCACAUUCUUCUCUAUAGAGAUGCUGUUCUAGAAAUACACUGUGUGUCCAGGUGCUUUGAAACAGCUGUGUGCAUCGAGAUUAUGCAAUCACACUUUUUGAAAGUUGUACCCAGUGCUCUGGGUCCUUUAGGAAAACUUUGCUACAGCCAAUGGAAUUUGAACAUUACAGUUUAUUCUUUGUCACUAUGAAGAUACAGUGCAAGUAACAAAAGUUCCACAGUACUGAAAGGAAAUGAUUGGAGUAAUAUUUAUCUACUGCAGCAGCAGCCUGCAGGAAAACAGUAUAGUGGCACACAGGUAAUACCAAUUUUCUCUAGCACGAGGAAACACAGGAGCAAGUAUGAUUUGCUUUGGGGAUGACAUUACUGGUUUGAACGGGACAUCCCACAGGACAGGACUUAGAAAGAAAGAACAGAGCCUGAAAAUUCAGCACAGAUUCUCUUUGGGCAGUUUCUUGCAUGGAGAUUGCUGGCAAUGACCUUUGCACCAGGCAGGGAGCAUUAAAAAGCUACAGCAGCUCUGGCCAAAGAGAUGUCUCCUACCCUCUCAAAAUAGAACAAGUACUUCUUAAGGGCCUCCCUGGCCUGUGCUUGCUGACUCUGGUUUACAAUAUCAGGAUUCUCUUUGUACCGACUGCAUUCGUAGUACUCGCUGCCGUGAGUCUUCCAGUCUCCCAGACACAUCCAGCAGAAGUCUGCAGAAAACAGUGAAAAUCCACUAUCAUGCACAG